UACGAAGGGGGGCUAGCGUUGUUCGGAAUUACUGGGCGUAAAGCGCACGUAGGCGGGUCGUUAAGUCAGGGGUGAAAUCCCAGAGCUCAACUCUGGAACUGCCUUUGAUACUGGCGACCUAGAGUCCGGAAGAGGUUAGUGGAAUUCCCAGUGUAGAGGUGAAAUUCGUAGAUAUUGGGAAGAACACCAGUGGCGAAGGCGGCUAACUGGUCCGGUACUGACGCUGAGGUGCGAAAGCGUGGGGAGCAAACAGGG
rnacentral:rRNA from 1 species